GACUCCAUCAUAGCAAAAAUCAACCCAGAGGAUGGGACCUUCUCCACAUUUAAUGGUGCUGAUGAAAUAUUCAAAGACAGCUUGAAACUGGAUCAUCAGACUGGAUCUCUGACCAUCAAGAACAUCAAAACAGACCAUGCUGGGCUUUAUCACGUUGAUAUCACCAGCAGCAGACACACCAUAUUCAAGAGAAUUGUUCUUAAUGUCUGCCCUGUUCUGGAUUCAGGUCUGUCUUCAGGCACCGUAAUAAUAAUAUGUGCUGUCAUUGGUGCUGGUGUUGCUCUAGUCAUUAUUGCAGCUCUGGUUUACUGCUGCAGGCCUCGUCGCUAUCAACCAGCAAAUCCAACUGACAACCUGUAAUGGAGAUUGUUAAUGAUCAAG